UACGUAGGGUGCAAGCGUUGUCCGGAAUUAUUGGGCGUAAAGAGCGCGUAGGCGGCGCUGUACGACCCGUGUGAAAGCCCCCGGCUCAACUGGGGAGGGUCACGGGUAACGGCAGUGCUCUGAGUGCAGGAGAGGGAAGUGGAACUCCGGGAGUAGCGGUGAAAUGCGUAGAGACCCGGAGGAACACCGGUGGCGAAGGCGGCUUCCUGGUCUGCAACUGACGCUGUGGCGCGAAAGCUAGGGGAGCAAACGGG
rnacentral:rRNA from 1 species